AAUCAACGCUGGCGGCGUGCCUAACACAUGCAAGUCGAACGAGAAAGCGGGGGCAACCCUGUGAGUACAGUGGCAGACGGGUGAGUAACACGUGAACAACCUACCCUUGAGUGGGGAAUAACACCGCGAAAGCGGUGCUAAUACCGCAUAACAUCUUGAAUCUGCAUGGAUUUGAGAUCAAAAGCGCAAGUUGCUUGAGGAGGGGUUCGCGGCUGAUUAGGCUAGUUGGUGAGGUAACGGCCCACCAAGGCAACGAUCAGUAGCCGGCCUGAGAGGGCGAACGGCCACACUGGAACUGAGACACGGUCCAGACUCCUACGGGAGGCAG
rnacentral:rRNA from 1 species